rnacentral:lncRNA from 1 species
CCCUGGAACAAUGAGAAACCAAGACCAGCCCCUCCUUCACUCUUUCUCCCUCUCCCCCACCCCAGCCUAACUUCUCUGCAGCAAUAAACAGCGAAGCCAAAAAUAGCCAUCUAAUGACGUUAGAGGAGCAAGGUCAUCUGAAAAUUGCCCAUGGCCACUGGACACCUCUCUAUAGGAUCAAGUAGCAGGAGGGUACCCCAGGCUGGUGCAGCUGUUCCAAGAACAGGAAACAGCCCAGGAGCAGACUUGGAAGCACCACCUCAUGAUGGCAGGGCCCUCGUGAAGGGGCAGGGGACAAAUGCCAACACUCAAAGGAGAAGCAAGGCCCAAGUGUGAGUGCAGACCCUGUAGAAGAGAACUGGACUUUGUCUGCACUGGAAGUCACCCCCGUCACACGAUCCCAGGAAAUGGCUCAAAAAGCGGGGAAUGCAUGUUCUGUCCUGGUGCACCUGACGGCUUCCUGGCCCCCCACUAUGCUAUUUAUAACGCCGCGGGGGCUGGGGGCGUCUGCUGAACUGGGUUACCAUACAAGCUGGGGUGCAUGGCACGUUCUGAGAGGCUGCCGGGAGAAGAGGGCCCCGCCUGGGAUGGCGAGGGGGCGUCCAAAUAAAGGAUGAGGAGUGGGCCGGGGCAAAGCCCCUCUGGCUGCAGUCCCCUGGCACUCUGACCACCUUGGCUUUCAUCCAGGCCUGCCGAGGCUUGUGACCUGACGGGCAGCUGCCGUAUCCCUGACAAGAACGCAAGCAUCCGGCACGGUCCGAGGAGAUGCCUGCUGGGUGAAACUAGAGAGAGAACCUGCUCUGAGCAUCUGGGGAGCAUAGCUGGAGCUUCCCACAGCAACGUCAAGAAUUCUGUGAGGACUCCAGCCCAAACUUGCUCUGAGGUCCUGAGCUGCUGGCCCUGGCGAGUGACAGAAACAAUCUCUUCUUCAUCCAAGGGGCCCUGUGAUCAAGUGUCAAUUAUCUUAUCUUCCAGGAGUUCCUGAGAAUGCCCAUCCCCUCAAGGGCUGCAACUGGUGCGGUGCAGAGGGCCCUUGAGGGCACAGACCUGGGUCCAAAUUCUUUUAUUUUCUUGGUCUUUUUGUCUUUUUAGGGCCGCACCUUUGGCACAUGGAGGUUCCCAGGCUACGGGUCUAAUCGGAGCUGUAGCUGCUGGGCUAUGCUGGUUUCCUCCUCCGUCAUAUGACUUGUUGGAAGGACCUAUGGAAAAGCAUUCUUCCUUCGGUCUUUAUUCUGGUAAUGGAGUCUUGGCUAAGGGGAUAAACACCUACUCAACCAACUCAGCAGCUCUCCCGGGUAACAUGAACGGGCUGCACAAAUAUGAUGCCCAGGGAGCUUGGAGGGGAGGUGUGUUUUCUCCUCCACACGGGCUCUGUUUUGCCCUGGGUGCUGAGGCUCACACAAGAGAAUGGCUGCUGGCUCCCUGGUCCCUAGAGACCUUUUGAGUUGGGAGACCUGUUGUCCAUCCAAAUAAUGUGCAACGAAGAGUCAGGGAGCCUACAGUGUAGACAUCCACCUCCAACCAAUAAGAACGCGAUUUCUGUAAGGUCAGCUCAAAUCCCUCGCCUCUCUGCUUGCACAAACUCCCACGGAGCCUCCUUCCUGAGGAGUGUCUCUGCUCCUCUCGCUGGCUGCUGACUCUAGCAGCUGCUGGCCCUGUCCUGUCAGGCUGUUGGCUUUGUGAGUAAACAGCAGGGGCUUCUGGCAACCCCUGGUGACACACACCCACUGACAAUUAAUAUUGAAUAUGUGACUCAAGCAGGGCCACACUGAGUCACACUGUCCAAUAGGGAUGAAUAAGUGCCCAUUGUGCUCCCAGAGUGCUCUGGGGCCAUGUUAAAGCUAGGAGCAAAUUCUCAUCCAUGGAACUGGAGGAAUGGUCCUUUCCAGAAACAUUGUUUUAAUUUCUACCAGGAAGACACUGAGACCCAGAAAAUGUGACAUGUGCAAGGACAUAAAACCAGAAGCCACUCUCCCAAUCUAGGGUUCAAGCCACUAAUUUUUGUGCACCUUCAGAACAAAAAGAGUCUAAGUCCCUUUGACCAUAAACAUCACAAAAACUGAGUUGCAGCGGAGAGAAACAGAAGAGCAGUAAGACGAGGGGAGACGUCCUUAAACUGCCUCUAGCAGCUGAAGAACCCGCUAUUAGCAACCUCACAUCGUGGAAAAGCCAAGGAUGGGAGGGACUUCCUUGCUGGAGUCUGUCAGAAUUCAUUGAGCAUUCUGUACAGUCUUUAACUGGUUCCAAGGUCAAGAGAAACAUCAGAAAAUAUGUGUGUGUGUCAGAGGACAUUAUUCAGGGAUUAGUCCCCUGGAGUGAUGUGGGCUAGAUUUCCUCUUCCAGAACAACCCUUGGAAAGUCCUCAAGAGCUAGCACUCUGGUCUCCAGCAUAACUUCAUUUAAGUUGAAAUAGAAAUCUAGCCUGCUAGGGGUGCCCUCUUGCAGUGACGGAGCAGCUGACUAUAGAAAAAUAUAAAUGUCAAACUAGGACGAAUGUGGUUAGGACGAACGUGGUUAGAACAAAUUGUCGGGGGAAAAAAGCUGAAAACAUUCCAGCUGAAAGAGCCUUAUUUAUUUUUCUCAUUCAGUCACCUCUUUGACGAUAUGGAAACUGAGGUCCAGAAAAAGGGAGUGCCUUGUUAAAGGUCAGCCGGUGUGCCAGUGCCAGGAGGUGGAUUAUAUUCCCUGCCUCUACUCUUCCCAAGACACACCGCAGCCCAGCUAGAGUUAAGAAAGACAAAGGGCGUUUCCUUUCAAACCUGAUCUCCAGGCUCUGAGACAGCCACCCCCCGUGUACGUCUGUCUUAAGAUGUAGAAUUCCAAGACUUUAAAACGACAUACCUAGAAUUCUCUCCAGAAAGGCUUUGCUAAAUGCCGGUGAACUCUUCUGCUGGGCACCAGUGCCAGUUACACUGACAUCAGGUCGGCCAAAGAGAGCUUUCCAGUGUGCAAGUGUGUAUGCCAGAAUGUCGUCAUUGACUAUGCUUUUGGGAGGGACUUACAUUUUAAUAAUUUAAUUGAAUUACAAAGAUUGACUAAGUGGUUUGAAACAGCCAUUUAAAGUUUAGAGACAGACAUAAUACAUUAGGGGGACAAAGAAAUCUGUCCUAUAAAUAGCCUAGAAAAAUCUUUUGCGAAACAAACCUUUUCAAUGGGGAGAAGCAAACUCAGAACACAGGAACAAUAUGCUGCUGUUAGAAUUGGUAUUUUCAGAGUAUGCAACAAUACGGGAAAAAUAUUUGCAUUAAUACUAUGCAAAAUGAAAAAAAGGAAUACUUUGUAUGUCAGAAAAACUCUACACUGUAGAAAAACACACUAAAGUUUUAGGGAGUAUGUCAGCGUAAGGCCACUGACUUUUCAUCGCUCCUCGCCACUAAGCGUAACAAUGCUGCCCCAAACUGCUUUUCCUAUUGUAUUUUACAACUACUCAUUGUUUAGUAUUUGACCCACUGAAAACUACAUCUCCCACCCUUGCUCCUGAAAGGAGUCCUGAGAAUAUCACUGGUACCAAAAUAAGGUAGGCAACAAUUUUUAGCCCAUUCAUACACCUGCCUGUGAGGUUCUGGGAUACCAGUCCCAAACGACAUGGGUUUAGGCAGAUCAGACAGGCCAAGUUUUUAUUUCCUUUCUGUGUCAUAAAAUUUUAAGAAAAGAAGAGAAGGCAAUUGAUGCUUUAGGGCUAGGCAGUCUGGUGAAAUAAUUCUUGACAAAACCUAGUAUUUUCCUAAGCCCCUGCAACAAUAGUUUCUUGGAGUAAAAUGUCAGCAUUUGUCAAGCCCUUUCAGGAAGCUGCUGAUAACCUUCAGUGCUUAAGAGUCAUGCUUUGACGUGAGCCCAGCCUCUUAUUCUCUUGCAAGAAAGAGAAGUGCAAACACGAUGAGGUAUUUCUGGUUUUGACAUCCGUAACCUUUGCUACAGAAAGUAGAGUGGGUAUGCAGGAAUACAAAAAACAAGGAAAAAGUGUUUGUCCCCAGGCUUCUUUUUUAUAGCAACUACACUGGCUUUAGCUGGAUAACAAAUUGUCCUGGAAUUCUUGGCAUUGGAGCAAACAUGUCAGCUCCGUGGUUACGCCUUCGUCACUGCUCAAAGUACUGCACACUUUAACCUUCCUGCUCUUUCCAUAGGCCUGGGUUUGUCCCAUACCCAGGAAACUUUAUAUGUUGUCUAAACUGAGCAUCCCAGCAGGCUGCAAGGCAGAUGGCAGCUCAGGAUUCAGAAUGUUGACCGACUCCUACCUGGAUCCACACCACCAAGCUAUAACUCAGCCUGGCUGUGCAGAAAUAGGAGCCCGGCCACGUGGCUGACAGCUUUUUUAACUGCUACUCUCAGCAAUGAGGAACUUCUCCAGCAGUCAAGAUUCAGAAAGGAACUGAAAAGGAAGCAUGUCAAGAGCUACCGAAGGGGAUAUACAGGUCCGACCGGAUACUCAAGCCAAUAAGCCCCCAAGGCUCAGCUAAGCCAGGGGGAGCUAAAAGACUGGGUAUUGCCAAGCUGCCCUCAAGCCCUUGGGACCUCAGGUCAUUAGCCCAGGACAUCACACAGAGGAACUGGACAUCACUACUGGACAUCUGCCUUCAGGUCACUAGAUUCUCAUAAGAAGCUUCAUACUUCAGCCAGGCAGAAAGCUAGUACACACCUGAGGUAGCACCUGAACCACAUCAUUCAAUGCAGAACAUAUGAAAGAGCAAGGAACAGAGUAUAAAUUAUGACAUUAUUUAUGGAAAAACAAAAGGGAGCAGGUGAAGUCAUCUCUGCAAGGGAACAUACUUGGCAGCACUAUCUGGGGUGGGAACUGAACUUGUAGCUUUUGAAUUUUGAAUGAAGUGCGACACUUACAGAACAAAUUAACAUUAAAGGAAAUGCAUAAUACUACAAUCUCAUUGCUAUAAAAAAAAGGAAAACGCUGGAGUUCCCAUCGUGGCGCAGUGGUUAACAAAUCCAACUGGGAACCACGAGGUUGCUGGUUCGAUCCCUGGCCUUGCUCAGUGGGCCGAGGAUCCGGCAUUGCCGUGAACUGUGGUGUAGGUUGCAGAAACGGAGUUCCCUGGUAGCUUAGUGUUGUUGCUGCUGUGGCAUAGGUUCAAUCCCUGGCCUAGGAACUUCUGCAUGCUGCAAGCAUGUCCCCCGCCCCAAAGGAACUGCAAUCUCACCUCCAAGAAUCUCUAAACUCCUGAAGCGUUUUAUCUGUCUGUCUCACAUUACUCAAUUACAUCGUAUCUCGUGUUACAAUUGUGUAAGUCUAGACUUACCUCUAUUCAAUGCUGGAGCAACUGCCACUGCAGCCUGUCUACUACUCAAGCUCUACUUUCCAAGGACAAAAUUCUAUGGAAAAGAACUGGUAAGGAAUAAAACAGCAGUCAAGAUGGCAACAAAGCAAUUACAUAAGAACAAAAUGAUCAAAGUAAAAGUGAACGAUGACCUUGUAUUAAUUAAUCAGCACAAGACUAUUAGUAAUGGGAAACUAUAACAAGUUAAAACACCAAGGCGUUCCCGUUGUGGCGCAGCAGAAACGAAUCCGACUAGGAACCAUGAGGUUGCAGGUUCGAUCCCUGGCCUCGAUCAGUGGGUUGAGGACCUGGUGUUGCUGUGAGCUGUGGUGUAGGUCGCAGACGAGGCUCGGAUCUGGUGUUGCUGUGGCUCUGGCGUAGGCUGGCGGCUACAGCUCCAAUUUGACCCCUAGCCUGGGAACCUCCAUAUGUCGUGGGUGUGGCUCUAAAAAGCAAAAAAACAAAAACAAAAACAACCCAACACUAAAAACACAGUCCUUCUCAGGUAUUGCAGAAAUUCCAACAAUCUGCAUGUCUGCAGGUGCUAGGAGCUCUGCAACUUGCCAAACAAAGUGUGGCAGCCCGAUUUCUCAGAACUCAGUAAAUUCCUAUUGGAGGGCAUGUUCUUUGUUUAGGAAAAUUCUGGGGUAGCCUCUGACAAUUGAAAGAGAAGCUCCCUCCUGGACAAGGCCUGAAGGGAUAAAGAACUUGAAUUUCUCUGCAAAAGAAAAGCAAAGAUUGAGUUUCAGGAGAAAUGGGAGGCUGUACUAGAAAAAUGAAGGUCAUGUGAAGUGGUGUAGAAACAAAGAACUGACUAGACAGGUUGUACUGAGAGGUAGACAGCCACUGGGAAACUGAGAGACAUUCUGGGAAGUAAGAGACAAUGGAUGUCUGCAUCUCCAUUUUAAAAGCUAUUUGGUCUAAAGUAACACACUCUCUCUUGCCUCUCAGAGACCACCACGCGUUACCACCCUGACGUGGGUGUGUCUUUAGGCAGUAAUCCAGAAUGGAGCAAAUGGAGUGGACGGACUCCAUAGGUCCAUAAUUCUCAGUACCACUCUUCUAAAAGCCCCAACUUGAGGGCCAGAUUUAUUCUUCUGCUUGAAACCACCAAAACUAAAAAUGGACAAACUAUAUGAAAAAAUGGUCCCAGGUGGUAAUAUAUGAGUAAGAGUCAAUUGUUAGAGAACUGCUGAUACAUGGGCGGGAGAAAAGGACAGACACAGAGAGGGGAUCAAGAGAUGGAGAAGUAGAAAAACCAAAGCAAGAGGUAACCAGGAAAAAAGUAGGAAAUUAUCAUCCUUACCUGAUGAGGUCAAAUGGUCAAGGAAAGAUUUAUGAAAAAGAUGAUACCAAAGCUUAUUUUUUUUGUUUUUGGCCACACCUGCGGCAUGUGAAUGUUCCUAGGACGGGGACUGAACCUGCACCAUGGCAGCAACCCAAACCACUGCAGUGACAGUGCUGGAUCCUUAACCUGUUUCGUCACAAGAGAACUCCCAGAGCUGAGUCUUAUAUGGAAGAGUUUACCAGAUGAGAAAAAAACACACUUUGAAGGCAUAACAGACCUCCAGAGUGGUUCCUAGGAGGGAGUUAACAACAUAGGGAAGGAUAUUCUGACAUAAGAC